rnacentral:rRNA from 1 species
UACAGAGGGGGCAAGCGUUAUUCGGAAUUAUUGGGCGUAAAGGGCGCGUAGGCGGCCUGGCAAGUGGAUGGUGAAAUCCCUCGGCUUAACCGAGGAACUGCCAUCCAGACUGCUUGGCUUGAGACCGGGAGAGGUGAGUGGAAUUCCUGGUGUAGCGGUGAAAUGCGCAGAUAUCAGGAGGAACACCAAUUGCGAAGGCAGCUCGCUGGGACGUUACUGACGCUGAGACGCGAAAGCGUGGGGAGCAAACAGG